rnacentral:lncRNA from 1 species
AGCCGGCGGAAGCCGAGCCCGAGGUGGAGGUGGAAGUGUACCGGCGGGACUCCAAGAAGCUGCCGGGCCUCGGGGACCCCGACAUCGACUGGGAGGAGAGCGUCUGCCUGAACCUCAUCCUGCAGAAGCUGGACUACGUGGUGACAUGCGCCGUGUGCACGCGCACCGACAGCGGGGACAUCCACGUCCACAAGAAGAAAUCCCAGCAAGUGUUCGCAUCUCCCAGUAAACACCCCAUGGACAGCAAAGGGGAGGAGUCCAAGAUCAGCUACCCCAACAUCUUCUUCAUGAUCGACAGCUUCGAGGAGGUGGGCCCGGCUCCCCCCGUCAGGCCUGCACCCGCUCGGGAAGGCGGUGAGCGUGGCUGCCCGCAUGGCACAGAAGAUGUCCUUUGGCUUCUACAAGUACAACAACAUGGAGUUUGUGCGCAUGAAGGGGCCACAGGGCAAAGGCCAUGCUGAGAUGGCGGUCAGCCGCGUGUCCACUGGUGACACGUCCCCCUGCGGGACCGAAGAAGACUCCAGCCCGGCUUCGCCCAUGCACGAGCGGAACUUCCUUCUCUAUGCACACCUGACCUACGUCACUUUGCCGCUGCAUCGGAUUUUAACAGACAUCCUGGAGGUCCGGCAGAAGCCCAUCCUGAUGACCUAGCCGUGCGCGGGGCCUGCGCCGAGCCCCCAGCCCUGCCCAGUCCUGGGAGUGCUGCCAAGUGCCUACCUGUCCACCGCCACUGGGGUCUUCGGGGACCACCCAGCGCCGGAGCCAGAACCAGGCGGGGCUGCUCGACUCCCGGGGCCAGGGCCGACUCCACGAACACCAGCCCAAACGGAAGUGCCUCGUUCUCCCUGCUGGCUCCGCUCCCACCCCUGCGCCCACCCAGCACCCCCCGGCCCAUCUCUGAGAAUGCUCUGCACCCAAAGAGGACCAGAGACACCAAGACGCCGCAACAGAGCAGAGGAACAGCGGCAUCCAGAGCGCCCAGACCCCCGCGUGCCGCAGGAGCCCAGGCAGAGCCCCCUCGGGGGCGCCCGGUGGGUCAGACCGGGGUCAGGUUUGGCAGGGCCGUACUGUGAGCUUCAGCAUCCGAGUCCGCCCCCGCCACCCGUCCCCUGCUUACCACUUGGUCGUAAGUGGGUCUCUGCCGGGAGCCAGGCGCCCUGCUGUCGGACGGCUUUGCUCUGGGCUGGGAAUACCUCACCCUGCGCCUGGUCCCCGAGGGCCCCGAUCCCGCCAGAAUGGCCUUCGCUUCCAGCCAAAGAGCAUCACCAACACACACACCUCCAACGUGGAGACAACCCGUUCGCACCUCGGCUGGCACGACCCGCGGAUUUGGAUUCUGAGGGCAGCCGGGAGGGCUUGGCAGCCAGAUGGCAGAAGGGCAGGGCCGGUGUCCCCCGGAAGGUUCCAUCCUCUGAGGCUGCAGGAGGGGACAGGGAGUUUCACCUUCCCUGGUUUCCUAGAGCUUUUUUCCUUGGGGCGUGCUGGGUCCGUUUCUCAGACCAGUCACUGAGGCAAAGAGCUGGUCUGGUCUGGUCUGGUCCGUUCGAGUGGGCAGCCGUCCAGCCCGGUCUCACUCCAGCCUGAGGGGCUUCCGUCUAAGGUGACACGUGUGCUCUUCCCAAGAGCACGAGCCCCGGAGAUCAGAAGUGGUCCUCCUUCCACCGGGAAUGAGCCGUCGGCUGGGUCUCUGCUGUUUCAUCCGCGUUCUCGGGAACAUUCACAGGGUUCCUGCUCUGCGGUUAGAGGUUCUCGGGGACGUGUUUUCCUGUCCACUUCUAUUCCGUGCACUCCAAGGGUUUGCGCUGGGCUCCGGGAACAGGGGACUACUUUGGGGCUUUCUCCAGAUUUUGUAUGCUGUUAUUAAAAGCGAGCUAAUGCAUUUCAUCCUGCCUCAGUUUGCCCACCUGUAAACGGGGCUGAUACCACCUACCUCACUGAAGUCGCCAGGUUCCAGUGCACGACCGGUCAGGGUGAGAUGGCCCGCCAUUCUGCAGAGCUCAGCGCAGGUCAGGGUCAGGCUAGCGGGGUGCCUGCCCCCUCCAGUCACCAGGCCAAGGAGACGUGUGGGGGGUUGGNNNNNNNNNNNNNNNNNNNNNNNNNNNNNNNNNNNNNNNNNNNNNCCUGCCUUUUCUGACAGUGCCCCGCUGGGCUGCUGUGUCUUGGCUCCCUGCACGACUUCUCGUUCCAAAGCAGCAUCCUAGGGCAGCAGAGUCAGCUCACAGCCCAAGGUGUUGGAGCGCAGCCUCAGGGCCGGGAGCAGGGCCCGCACUGCCCCGCUUGUGUCCGAGGCGGCUGAAUUGCCGCUUUUCUUCUGGUUGUCUGGGGUCUGAAGACUCUGGAACUCCGCUCUCGGGAGGAAUGCAGUCCUGAGGUGCUUCCCACAGGGGGGACGAGGUGGUUUUAGGCAGGAAGUCGGCUCCUCUGUUAGGACACAAACCUAGAUUCUGCCCCAGGGGGAACUGGGGGCGCGGGGGCAGGAACGUGCGGGUGUGCUUGGCAGGUCUUGGGCUGCGUGCCAGGCACGGUGGUGGAGAGAUGGCACCUCAUCUGUGAAGUGUGUGAACGGACGCACACAGGGCUUGGAGGGCUUACAUCCAACUUUAGGUGGCACUUGGCAUUUGCAGGCGCCAUGCAAAGCAUUUAGGUCCUGUCAUUACCCCUUCUUAGAGACGAGGCACAGAGAGGGUAGGUGUACUGCCCGAGUCUGAACAGCAUGCAAGACACAGGAGCCCAACCCAGGCACGUGGUCCAGGGGACACUGAGCCAUGACACUGCUUUCCCAGGACAGACGCCUGAAUGGUGGUGGAGUGGACCUUUCUCAGUCUUAAAUCUUCUAACGAGUAGGCAGUAAGCUGUUUCUCUGCUUUUGCUACUUUCAAAGUAGUGACAUCAGUAACGUAGUAGUAGAGGAACAAGUGACACGGCCAGAACCGGGGCCCCGACAUCCCAGGGUGGCCUGGUGUUGACACGUCUCACUUCCUGUGGGGCCAUCUUUCCUUUUCCGGGAAUGCCCCUGUCUGUAUAACGUGGGCACGGUGCCCAGGGCAUGUGGACAGCUCUUCACUGGGGCUGGAAUCUCGCAAUCAGUUGUCCUUUGAAGAAACCCGCAACCUCUCACUGUCUUGUGACAUUAACAGGGAAGGCAACCUUUUUUUAGAGACACGUCGUGGUCCUGGAGGCAGCGGGGGCACAUCGUCUCCACUGCCACCUCCUUCAGCACUGGAAGGUCCUGGCAGCGUUGAGCCUCAGCCUCCGGGGUCUCAUGGGGCUUCCAGUUCCCUGUGAAAACCGCUGAGGCUUGUUCUCUCAAAAGAAGAACAUUAUUUUAUUGAAAACGUAAGUCACAGAGAAGUAUUUGAAUGUGAGAAAAAGCAAAAUAUUCGAUCGCAGCCAGCAUGGAGGGAAGAUGGGUUUUCUGACGAGUCGGGGCCUUGCUCACCUUCGGGCUUGUCAAGGCCGGUUAACGAAUCAUCAGAAUUCAGACGGGUUCCCGUCCACGUGGAGUAAUGACAAAGACAGAAAGGCAGGCGGCUCAGAAUCUGGCUGGAAUUAAACCAGGAUCUGUUUUUGCUGUUUUAAUCACAGAUAACUAGUCAGUAGGCUUUUUGGAAGAGUGACAUGAAGGCUUUUUUUUCCCCAUGAAAAGACAUUUCAGAGGGUGGUCCCUGUGCAGUUGGCGUGUUCUGAUGACUUCGAAAAACACAUCGAUGGUAUCGCACCGUGGUGGGUUUAAACUGCAGGCCACAGUUCAAGGACUGGCACCGUCAGCUGCCUAAUGCACCUCAGUAGUGGGUUUCACUCUGACAUACGCAUAUUCUGUUCAGGUUUCCAGUGGAGCUGGAAGGUAGUUUCAUACCCAGUUUCAAAACCCAAGUCUCUUGCUAAGACGGUCAGCCCCGUCGAGGCCCUCUCGUCUGUGUGUCGGGGAGCAGAAUCACUUCUCUUUAAAGACCACCGCCCUGACUGGACACAGACUCUGAGUGGAAUGUACCCGAGCGGAGGCAGCCUUCGGAGGGGACAGCCUCUGGGAGUCAGUGACAGGCGCUGGGCCAGCCUUCCUUUGUUCCUUUUCACUGGCAGACAGGAUCCUCAGUGGAGAAGGGGCCCUGCCACCGUCGUCGUCUGCGCCCAGGGACAGAAAGCUCUGGGGACACCACACACGAGCCAAGUCACUGGAAGCCCAGGCUCCUGGGGUGGGGCUCGGCGUCCUCGGGCGUGGAGGUGUUUGUGUUUACAGGUUUCUGCCCUCCCCGGGGCAGGCAGCUGGGCAGGCAGCCCAAGCUCAGUAAAACAAAACCAACCGCGACGCGCCACCUUGGCCGAGUGGGGGCGAGUGUCUUCUGCCCCACGUCUGUAAGGUUGGGCGAUUCAGAUGUAAAUACUAAUCUUUUAUGGUUUCCAAACAAAUUCUAUGUAUGAGAACGUGUAAACCUGCAAAGAAAACCUGUUGAAGAUUUUUCACUACCUUGAGGUUUAACUAAAAUGAUUUCUACAAAAUAUAUUUUAGCAAAAACACCGUGACGGCAUAUACAUUGGCUACAUUCGGAUUUGAUGGGCAGUGGUAUUUCCAUAAACAUGGUCAACAGCUUCUGGAUCAGCCAUCUUCCACGUCCAACAGAAGUAACUUCUACACAGUAUUAGUGGUUGGCUGUUAACUGUGCUUUAUAGACUCUGCGUUUCUUUUGAAAGCUGAUUUGCAUGUUGGGUAUUAUUUAUUUCUUUAAUGAAGCUACCUAGUUAUUUUUUCCUCUGAUGGAUGUUUCAGAUUAAAUAUGGAUGUUAUAGCAAUGUGUUAACUUACUGAUUGAACCUCAGUUUUCCCCCAGAGAUUCCUUGAAACCUUUUUUUUUUUUUUUUUUUUUUUUUUUGCACUUUCAUACAAAUUGCUUUCUUGAGUGACAGAAGCCGCCCCAUGCCCUGGCUUUGGCAGGCCCGGGAGGCAGCGGGGGGUCUGGAGGCCAGCAGCUGCAGUUUGGUCAGAUGCUGGAUUUGCAAAAUGAAAGAUGUGUUUCGGGUUCAGCUCUUGGCCCCUGUAAAGUAGUAUGCACCCUCCCUUAAGUUAUACUUAAAAUCUCACAAGCUCUUGCUCAAGAACCUCUCAGAAGCCCUCGCAGAAGUGGGAAAAUGACUAGAAUAAAAGUCUGGUGUCUCACGUUCUAGUUUUGGCAGCUUCCCAACAAGCUACCUGGUCUCUGGAGGCUGUUUUUUAGACAGUGGCUCUUGGUUGCUUUUCCAGCUCCACAGUUAUCAGGUCGAUAUGGGGGCAGCUCACACCUCUGCCAGAGGGGCUUCUGCACGCUCACUGCAGGUGGAAGCCCUCUCAGCAGCGGGCUUUGGCUUUCCAUGGUCAGGCGGCCGGUCUGGUCACGGGCACAGGUGAGGCCUGUGAUCCCGUAGAAGGCUAUAAAGAAUGACAGAAUAAAAAGGGGGCUCUGGGAGGUACACACACAAAGCUAGAAGUCGAUUAAGGGUCAUCACGUCAAAUGACAUCGCUUAGGCAUUGCUGGACACACCGGCAUCAGAAUCCUCUGAAGCGGCCUGAGCACCUGCAGCCUAUACAGGACGGUGCUCGGGAAGGAGGCAGGUUAGCGGGUAAAGAAGGACUCUUGUUAUCCAGUCAGCCCCUGGCUAAACAGGUCCUUUUAAGACAGCCGCCUGAGGAAUAUUUAACAGGUCUUUGGGGAGAAAGUUGCUACCCUGGAAGCCACCUGCCGCGACCGCAUUCCCGUCUAACUCCUGAAGGCUGUGUGUCUGUUCUGAUUCCGGCCUAGAUGCACUUCUAGGAACUACUGUCAGGCCCCAGAAACAUGUUGACUGGAAGGGAAAACCUUUGGGAAUUUUACACUGGGAGGAAGGGUAAGUGUAAAAUAACUUAGUCCCUAAAAUAAUGCGGUUCAUUGUCUAUACACGUGUUGAAUGUACAAACGUGCUGUACCUUGUGCUGGAGUGUCCAAAUGGCAGCGCAGCUGGCAAGUUUGUGAGGAGGGAGACUGUGGGCAUGGCCACACCCAGAUGAGGUCUUCUGUUCCAGCUUCACCGAAUUCCCUCCUGACUGGGCCCCCACCUGGGCCAGGAUCAGCAAGAUACGUCCUUCCUUUCUGUGGAUUAAGGGUCUUUCAUCUUGGAAUCUGACUUUAAUAAAACAAUGAGAUUGCUCAGUUUGAAA